GAUGAACGCUGGCGGCGUGCCUAAUACAUGCAAGUCGAGCGAACAGACGCGGAGCUUGCGCCUCUUGCGGAAGCGGCGGGCGGGACAGUGACAAGCGGAUAACGGACCUGUGAGACUGCGAUAACUUCGGGAAAACGGCGCGAAGACCAGCGCAUAUCUUGAAGCUCGUGGUGCAAUGGUGAAAGAGGGGUUUGCGGGCCGCUGGCGAUGGAUCCGGGGCGCAUGAUCUAGUUGGACAGGUAACGGCAGACGAAGGCGACGAUGGGUAGCCGACCUGAGAGGGUGACCGGCCACACUGGGACUGCGACACGGACCAGACUCCUACGGGAGGCAGCAGUGGGGAAUAUGGCGCAAUGGGCCGAAGCCUGACGCAGCGACGCCGCGUGGGGGAAGGCGGCCUUCGGGUUGUAAACCAAUUUGUGCAGGGCCGAAGCGGAAGUGACGGUACCUGCAGAAGAAGCAACGGCCAACUACGUG
rnacentral:rRNA from 1 species